rnacentral:rRNA from 1 species
AAACCGGGUUUAGCUGUCUCCCAACUAUUUUCUUGAAUUUACUGUUUAAGUGAAAAAGCUUAAAAAUGAUAAAGGGACGAGAAGACCCUUAGAAUUUUUUUUAAAAUGGAAAUUUUUCUAUAAUAAUUUUGUUGGGGCGACAGAGAAAUAUUUAAAACUUUCUUUAAAUUUACAUGCCGAUAUUGUUAAGUAAGAAUAAAUUACCUGAGGGAUAACAGCAUAAUUCUAUAGUUGAGUUUGUGACCUCGAUGUUGGACUAGGAAACUAACAGGCUAGCCGUUUGUUGUGUGGGUUCUGUUCGAACUCUAAUUCCU